AAGUCUCCUCAGAACGACAUAGGCUUUUCACUGCAACAAAAAGAAAAUGAUUUGGAAAGGCAGGAUCAGUGGAGAGUAAACCAUUUUGUCUCUGAAAACCAUGUUGUUUUCGGUGGUCCAAAACAACCAUGAAACAAGACGUCCUGAAUUAACCUUCAUAGGAUUGAAAUCCUAUAAGAAAUUUUUCUAUUUGGCUAUUUGAUUCAAAGGGUUGGAGUUUUCCAAAUCCUAUACAAAUCCUAUGGAAUAGCUCAUUGCACGUAGAUUUUGGAGAAAAUUUAGUAAGAGGUCCAACCUCUUAGAAAAAUCCUUUGAGUCUAUCUCUCACUGCGUGUUUCCUGCGACCCAAUCAAACAAUUAUUCGUAUGUUUUUCUUGUGUUUUGUAAUUCUCUGUUUUACAUUUGCAUUUCUAUAAUCAUGUUUUUUAUUUCAUUCAUAUGAUUUAAAUGAUUUAAAGAGACCCUUACCAUACCAUGCCAGCAGCCCAGCACGUCGUGGCACACGUACGGCAGCCGACGCCAUCGUUCGUGCCGUGACCAUGACGCGGCGAGGCGAGGCGAGACGGCAUGGCUGGCCUCACCGCCGCCCUAGUGUCGGAGGCCGGAAAUUUCCCGGUUCACCGCUCCGGCCGGCCUGC
rnacentral:lncRNA from 1 species